rnacentral:lncRNA from 1 species
UACUAUGAAGUGUAAUAACGGGCUCCCACCUUCAAGAACCCCGGUUAUAGCUGAGAAGUCAAGGCAUACACACACAACAGUACCAAACAGGAUAUUUCAGACAGAGGACCUUCAAGAAAGAAACCGGAGCUGGAGAUACAGACUGGGAGUCAUCAGACAAAGAUGAUGGGUGAAGUCGGAGACAUGCAUGAGAUCACCAAGAUAAUACAUACAGUUAUGUAUCACUUAAGGAAAGGAUACAUUCUGAGAAAUGCAUCAUUAGGUGAUUUUGUAGUUGGGUGAACAUCAUAGAGUGCACUUAACACAAACAUAGAUGGUGUAGCCUACUACACACCUGGGCUAGAUGGCAUAAUCUACUGCUCCUAGGCUAUGAACUGUACAGCACGCUACUGUGCUGAAUACUAUAAGCAGUUGUAACACAGUGGUCAGUAUUUGUGUAUCUAAACGUAUCUAAACAUAGAAAAGCUACCAUAAAAAUAUGGUAUCAUAAUCUUAUGGAACCGCUGUCGUAUAUGCAGUCCAUUGUUUACUGAAAUGUCAUUAUGUGGCAAAUGACUGUAAAAAGUAAGGAAAAAAACCCUAAAAUCCUAAGAACACCAAUAUUUAAUGAGAAAAGAUAGUAGAGUAAAUGAAUCCAACAGAGAACAAUAAAAGGAAGUAGUCAGGAAACCAAAGCGGUAAGAGUAUUCUCAGUAAACCAGGGAAGGAAAAUUUCAAGCAGGGAACGUCGUCAAUGAUGACAUUUGCUGCAGUGAAAUUGAGUGAAACAAUGACUGCAGUGAAAAUGAAUAAAACAAUGAUUUCAGAGUGAGCAUUGCAUUUGGCACUUACUGAGGCUGCCAGUGAGUGUUGCCAAGGCAAUUUCAGAGGAGUCAAAAGAAUGAUGUGUGAUAACAGUGAUUUAAGGAACAAAUGAGAGGUAAGGAAAUGGUGACAGCAAUUAUGGAUUAACGCUUUAGAAAGUUUGCUUAUGAAAAUGUCAUUUAAAGAAGUCAGAACCAAUGCCAACAAGUGUGUUUUCAUUUCCUUUGGAUAAAAAAACUAGGUGUGAAAUUGCUGAGUCAUGGGAUUGUGUAUAUUUAGCUUUACAAGAAACUAUAAACUUCUCCAAGUAGUCAUGCCAUUGCACAUUGCCACCACCAAAGUAUUACAGUCCCUCUUGGGCCACAUUCUUGUCAAUGCUUGGUACUAUUGGUUUUAUAAACUUUAACCAUUCUAGUAGAUAGGGAGUGGCAUAUCAUGGUGAUUUUAAUUUACAUUUCCUUGAAGACUAGUGAUGUGGAGAGCAUUUUCUGUGUUUAUUGGCCAUUCAUAUAUUGUUUUUAAUUGUCUCAAAUUUUCUGCUCAAAUUUUAAAAACUGGAUUGUUGAUUUUUAAAAUUAUUAUUACUUAGUACCAUAAUUCUCUAUAUAACUUAGAAACAAGUCCUUCAUCAGAUAUACAUGUAACAAAUGUUUCCACAGACUUUAGCUCACAUCAUUGUUUUAUUAUCAGUGUUUCAUUGAGAGAAG